rnacentral:misc_RNA from 1 species
GAUGAAGAACGUAGCGAAAUGCGAUAAGUAUUGUGAAUUGCAGAAUCCAGUGAAUCAUCGAAUCUUUGAACGCACAUUGCGCCCGCCGGCAUUCCGGCGGGCAUGCCUGUUCGAGCGUCAUUUCGACCCUCACCCUCCUCUAAAGGUGGGUGGCGUUGGGGCGUCCGCGUCACUGUGGAGGCCCUCAAGUCUAUAGGCGGUCCCGUCGGGUCCUCGAGCGCAGUAAAACCACUAUCGUUCGGCGGUCGCGGCGGCGUUCUUGCCCUUAAACACCACCCUAUUUUUAUAAGGUUGACCUCGGAUCAGGUAGGAAUACCCGCUGAACUUAAGCAUAUCAAUAAGCGGAGGA